UGAAAAUCUGGUGCCUGGCUAAAUUUCAGUUUCAGUAACAAAAUAUUGUUAUAUACUGUGUAGAAAGAAGGAAAAGAGGCGAAGAGUAAGAACAGAUUUCCUGAGUCUGUUUCCUUGAAUUCACAUUAUCUGGUGUUCCACUCCUCCGUAACACCGAGAUGAUCAGAGCCCUGGCAGGGCAGCGGUCUGUCCAACUGCCAGCAGAGAAGCUCUGACCUGACAGCAGACUCAAUCUUCUGGUCUGAUGGACGAUGGUGGUGCCAGCACAUGUGUCUUCUGGAAGAUAGGAAUGUGGAUCUCACACAGCAGUAGGACUUUUUUUCCCUUUACAAUGGCCGAGCAGAGCAGCAGCAGUGCCAUUGAUUCCUGCUGUUGCCGCCCUGCUGAACGCCAAGACAGAUAAACUGUGGGAUGUUCUUAGCAGCUCCUCCAUGGGGUAGUAAGAUAAACAUGAGAAACAUAAGGAGAUAUUAAAGAGUAGAUUAUAAUCCAUUUUCAGGAAACAGCAUUUUCUCCAGCAAGAGAGACUGAACUUUAUCAAAGGGGAAACUUCUCCAGGAGGACUUGCCAAAGUAAAUCUCUUUGAUGCAAAUGGUUUAAGCAAAGACAUUCACCUUAAUCUACUGUGUGGUGACCUGCUCUUCUGAUACAAAGAAUAAUUAUGGGUGUUUUCGGAAUUGCUGUGGUCUGCAAAUCCUCCAAAUCUAAGUUCUUAAUGUUCCCGCUUCACCACUCUGAUCUUGGUCACCCACAUUUCUUGUAAUUUUGGCCUUGCUUAAUGCCUUUAGGUGUUGUUACUUGGAAAGACUUCACUGCCUUUUGAAGGACAGAUCAAAAAAUAACAAGCUUUUUUUUUUUUUUUUACCUUUACAUUUAAUUGUUGUGCCUGGGUCUAAUAAAGUGAAUGACCCACAAAUAACUUGAUCGAAGUGCAGAACACAGUGGAGUGGAGAAGACGAGUGUUUAGCUGUUGAAAUCAAUACUUUCAUGCAGAUUGAUGUCUGUGCCAGUUUGCCAUCCCGGACGUUUUCAGUUUAGUUUAUUUGUGUUACAGUAGUAGUGACAAUGUAGUUAAAUAUAGCCUCUGAAAACAGGAUCUCUGCUUGUUUCAUUUGUAUUCUACUGUUCUUUCAUUAAACAUUUCUUCAUCUUUGCAGAG
rnacentral:lncRNA from 1 species